AUGGAGCACCUCUUCAACCUGAGCCUGAGGCUGGGAAGAGUCCCACAGCUCUGGAAAACUUCCUGUGUUGUUCCAGUGCCAAAGACUUCACGCCCCAAGGACCUCAACAGCUACAGACCGGUGGCUCUGACAUCCCACCUGAUGAAGACCCUGGAGCGGCUGGUCCUGGCUCAGCUUCGGCGCCUUGUGAGCUCAUCACUGGACCCACUUCAGUUUGCCUACCAGCCUGGCAUUGGAGCGGAUGAUGCCGUCAUUCAUCUCCUACAUCGUUCCCUCGCUCACCUGGAGACCGCUGGGAGCACUGUGAGAAUCACGUUCUUUGAUUUCUCCAGUGCCUUUAACACCAUUCUUCCCUCGGUUCUGAAGGACAAGCUGGAGAACUCUGGAGUGGACCAUCACCUCACUACCUGGAUUUUGGACUACCUCACCGACCGACCACAGUAUGUGAGGACUCAGGGCUGUGUGUCGGACAGGGUCGUCUGCAGUACGGGGGCCCCACAGGGAACGGUUCUGGCUCCGUUCCUCUUUACCAUCUACACUGCAGACUUCUCCCACAACUCCACCCAGUGCUUCCUGCAGAAGUUCUCUGAUGACUCUGCAAUAGUCGGCCUCAUCACUGAUGGGGACGACAAGGAGUACAGAGGACUGACUCAGGACUUUGUGGACUGGUGCCAGCUGAACUACCUCCAGAUCAAUGCCAGUAAAACCAAGGAGCUGGUGGUAGACUUCCGCAGGCACAAGCAUCCUCCACUGCAACCACUGAACAUCCAAGGUAUGGACAUCAAGGCUGUGGACAGCUACAGGUACCUUGGUGUUCAUCUGAACAACAAACUGGACUGGACUCAUAACUCAGACGCCCUCUACAGGAAAGGGCAGAGCAGGCUGUACCUGCUGCGGAGACUCAGGUCGUUUGGAGUGGAGGGCCCACUCCUGAAGACCUUCUAUGACUCUGUGGUGGCCUCAGCCAUUUUUUAUGGUGUGGUCUGCUGGGGAGGCAGCAUCUCUGCUGGGGACAGGAAGAGACUGAACAGGCUGAUCCGAAGGGCCAGCUCUGUUCUGGGAGGCCCUCUGGACCCAGUGGAGGUGGUGAGUGACAGGAGAAUGGUGGCUAAGCUGUCAUCCCUGAUGGACAACAUCUCCCACCCCAUGCAUGAGACUGUGAAGGCACUGAGCAGCUCCUUCAGUGGGAGACUGCGGCACCCACGGUGUGGGACGGAGAGAUUUCGCAGGUCUUUCCUCCCCACUGCUGUCAGACUCUACAAUAAAGACUUUUGCAGCUGA
rnacentral:lncRNA from 1 species